rfam:Brachypodium distachyon strain Bd21 chromosome 2, whole genome shotgun sequence.
AAUACACUCCCUCCAUCCCAUAUUAUGUGUAGCAAUUUUGUCUAGAUACGUGUGUAUCUAGACGCGCUUUAGUAUGUAGGUACAUGCAUAUCUAGACAAAGUUGCGACACUUAAUAUGGGAUGGAGGGAGUAUAUU